UGAAGUUGAACUUGAUGGGUGCCUAUCUCACUGUCCCGGUCUCGAGGUCAUCCAGGGAUCUCCUCCGUUUCCUGUGGAAAGAUCAGGUUUGGCGUUUCACUUGCCUUCCCUUCGGUCUGUCUUCGGCCCCCUGGUGCUUCACCAAGGUCAUGCGCCCAGUGGUAGCUUGGCUCCGCAGUCGCGGGAUCAGGUUGAUCAUCU